GACGAACGCUGGCGGCGUGCUUAACACAUGCAAGUCGAACGAAGAGCGAUGGAAGCUUGCUUCUAUCAAUCUUAGUGGCGAACGGGUGAGUAACGCGUAAUCAACCUGCCCUUCAGAGGGGGACAACAGUUGGAAACGACUGCUAAUACCGCAUACGAUCUAAUCUCGGCAUCGAGGAUAGAUGAAAGGUGGCCUCUACAUGUAAGCUCUCACUGAAGGAGGGGAUUGCGUCUGCUUAGCUAGUUGGGGGGGUAACGGACCACCAAGGCGAUGAUCAGUAGCCGGUCUGAGAGGAGGAACGGCCACAUUGGGACUGAGACCCGGCCCAGGCCCCUACGGGAGGCAGCAGUGGGGAAUCUUCCGCAAUGGACGAAAGUCUUACGGGGCAACGCCGCGUGAGUGAUGACGGCCUUCGGGUUGUAAAGGUCUGUUAAUCGGGACGAAAGGCCUUCUUGCGAACAGUUAGAAGGAUUGACGGUACCGGAAUAGAAAGCCACGGCUAACUACGUG
rnacentral:rRNA from 1 species